GCCUCUGUGGCCUAAUGGAUAAGGCAUCGGUCUCCUAAACCGGGGAUUGCGGGUUCGAGUCCCGCCAGAGGUA
rnacentral:tRNA from 1 species